GUGGUUUUUCCUUGUUUAUAUACAUACAUACAUGUCAAAACAUAUUUAAGCAGACACAGCUGCAUUAAAUUUCUACACCACCUACCCAACCCUUCCAUAAAUUUGAGACUGCAGAAAAAAUAAUAUCACACAAAAAUAUGGAGGUGAAAUCCGAGGCUAACGAGGAGAAGAAAUGUUUCACUUACGACGACGGAGGAACUACCCAAGCCCAGCCGGAUCCGCCUAAUUCCUCCGCCCUGGUGGCGCAGGCGGCGCGGGUAGCGCCACCUAGGGCACCGCCGCGGCCGAUCAUAGGUGGUGGUGGUGGCCCUCAGACCAACACCAACCCUAAUUAGGUUAAUUAUUUUGUGUUGCUUACUUUAUGUAAUUUCUUCUAGUUUUUCUAAUUUGUAAGCUCAUGUUUAGGGCUCCUCUCUCUCUCUCUCUACUACACACUGUUCUAGAGUGGGGUUUUGGAAGUUGAUAACUUGUUUUCUCUGUUUGCUGUUAGUGUGUGUAUAUGUGUAUAUCAAGAAUAUUCUUAAUUUCA